CAUGUUUUACCCAAUUCUUAUAUACUUCUAAUACCUAUGUUACAUAAUCCUGCGCGACCCGUUUACAGCCUCUUAACCGGCUUAAUAACCAACUGAUACAGUACCUUGCCAGCUUGCCUUCUUCGUGGCUGUUAAUUCCCGAUUGAUUGCGUUGAUUGCUGAAUACAGAUUUCUUCUCUUCCAUUAUGGAAACUGCACGUAAUCAGGGAUGCAUUUUAGACUAUGCUUUUGAUUUUUCAAAAUUCAAACGUAAUUUCUUUGCUUGCUGUCAAAGAGUUCUUGUGUGGGUUUGUAGAGUGGUUUUUGACGGUAUUCUUGCUGGCUAUGGAUUCGCGUUCGCAGCAGCCGAUGAUUAAUUUGUCAGGCUCAGGUCGGAAGAGGAACAAAGAAAAUCAGUCAGAUGCUUCACUUGCUGGUAUUCGCGAAACAAUUGCCUCACAUUCAUCAUUUGAGCCGUGUUUCUUUAGCUUAGGAACACCACGUGUUUGUGUUUUCAAUUCAUAACCGGCACAUUUUGGCAGGUAUUCGUCGACGAGGUUCUGGAAAUGCUCUGGAUUUGUUCCUACAAAGACGCGCUGAAAGCAUUAAGAGAUCCAGGACCAUCGGCACUUCGUCAGAGUUCGACAAAAACAGCAGAGCCACAAGUCAGGUCCCUCUAUCAACUACUGAUCAGAGUGCACCAUAUCAAU